CCUACGGGAGGCAGCAGUGGGGAAUAUUGGACAAUGGGGGGAACCCUGAUCCAGCCAUGCCGCGUGUGUGAAGAAGGCCCUCGGGGUGUAAAGCACUUUCAGUGAGGAAGAACGCCUGGUGGUUAAUACCCAUCAGGAAAGACAUCACUCACAGAAGAAGCACCGGCUAACUCCGUGCCAGCAGCCGCGGUAAUACGGAGGGUGCGAGCGUUAAUCGGAAUUACUGGGCGUAAAGCGCGCGUAUGUGGCUUGAUAAGCCGGUUGUGAAAGCCCCGGGCUCAACCUGGGAACGGCAUCCGGAACUGUCAAGCUAGAGUGCAGGAGAGGAAGGUAGAAUUCCCGGUGUAGCGGUGAAAUGCGUAGAGAUCGGGAGGAAUACCAGUGGCGAAGGCGGCCUUCUGGACUGACACUGACACUGAGGUGCGAAAGCGUGGGUAGCAAACAGGAUUAGAUACCCCUGUAGUC
rnacentral:rRNA from 1 species